GGGGUUGUAGCUUAAUGGUAAAGCGCACUGAAAGUACUACCAGUAUUUGCAUACUCGGUCCUUCACAUAGAUUUGCAUCUAUGCGAUUGGCAUACGUAUUGGCAUACGUAUAUGGUAUUUGCAUACUCGGUGAGACUGCUGGUUCGAAUCCAGCCAACUCCA